CAAUUUAAACAACGAAGAGUUUGAUCCUGGCUCAGGAUGAACGCUAGCGACAGGCUUAACACAUGCAAGUCGAGGGGCAGCGGGGGUAGCAAUACCCGCCGGCGACCGGCGCACGGGUGAGUAACGCGUAUGCAACUUACCUAUCAGAGGGGGAUAACCCGGCGAAAGUCGGACUAAUACCGCAUGAAGCAGGGGCCCCGCAUGGGGAUAUUUGCUAAAGAUUCAUCGCUGAUAGAUAGGCAUGCGUUCCAUUAGGCAGUUGGCGGGGUAACGGCCCACCAAACCGACGAUGGAUAGGGGUUCUGAGAGGAAGGUCCCCCACAUUGGUACUGAGACACGGACCAAACUCCUACGGGAGGCAGCAGUGAGGAAUAUUGGUCAAUGGGCGCGAGCCUGAACCAGCCAAGUCGCGUGAGGGAUGAAGGUUCUAUGGAUCGUAAACCUCUUUUAUAAGGGAAUAAAGUGCGGGACGUGUCCUGUUUUGUAUGUACCUUAUGAAUAAGGAUCGGCUAACUCCGUGCCAGCAGCCGCGGUAAUACGGAGGAUCCGAGCGUUAUCCGGAUUUAUUGGGUUUAAAGGGUGCGUAGGCGGCCUUUUAAGUCAGCGGUGAAAGUCUGUGGCUCAACCAUAGAAUUGCCGUUGAAACUGGGGGGCUUGAGUAUGUUUGAGGCAGGCGGAAUGCGUGGUGUAGCGGUGAAAUGCUUAGAUAUCACGCAGAACCCCGAUUGCGAAGGCAGCCUGCCAAGCCAUGACUGACGCUGAUGCACGAAAGCGUGGGGAUCAAACAGGAUUAGAUACCCUGGUAGUCCACGCAGUAAACGAUGAUCACUAGCUGUUUGCGAUACAGUGUAAGCGGCACAGCGAAAGCGUUAAGUGAUCCACCUGGGGAGUACGCCGGCAACGGUGAAACUCAAAGGAAUUGACGGGGGCCCGCACAAGCGGAGGAACAUGUGGUUUAAUUCGAUGAUACGCGAGGAACCUUACCCGGGUUUGAACGCAUUCGGACCGAGGUGGAAACACCUUUUCUAGCAAUAGCCGUUUGCGAGGUGCUGCAUGGUUGUCGUCAGCUCGUGCCGUGAGGUGUCGGCUUAAGUGCCAUAACGAGCGCAACCCUUGCCACUAGUUACUAACAGGUAAAGCUGAGGACUCUGGUGGGACUGCCAGCGUAAGCUGCGAGGAAGGCGGGGAUGACGUCAAAUCAGCACGGCCCUUACAUCCGGGGCGACACACGUGUUACAAUGGCGUGGACAAAGGGAAGCCACCUGGCGACAGGGAGCGAAUCCCCAAACCACGUCUCAGUUCGGAUCGGAGUCUGCAACCCGACUCCGUGAAGCUGGAUUCGCUAGUAAUCGCGCAUCAGCCAUGGCGCGGUGAAUACGUUCCCGGGCCUUGUACACACCGCCCGUCAAGCCAUGGGAGCCGGGGGUACCUGAAGUCCGUAACCGAAAGGAUCGGCCUAGGGUAAAACUGGUGACUGGGGCUAAGUCGUAACAAGGUAGCCGUACCGGAAGGUGCGGCUGGAACACCUCCUUUCUGGA
rnacentral:rRNA from 1 species